UACGUAGGUGGCAAGCGUUGUCCGGAUUCACUGGGUUUAAAGGGUGCGUAGGCGGCUCCAUAAGUCAGUCGUUAAAGGUAUGGGCUUAACCCAAAUAAGGCGAUUGAUACUGUGGAGCUUGAAUUCGUUGGAGGUAUCCGGAAUGCGUAGUGUAGCGGUGAAAUGCACAGAUAUUACGCAGAACACCAAUUGCGGAGGCAGGAUACUACGACGAGAUUGACGCUGAGGCACGAAAGUGUGGGGAGCGAACAGG
rnacentral:rRNA from 1 species